CAGUCAAAGUGGCUGUGAUAUGUAGAACUGACUAAGUGCAUCACAGCCUGCUUUGUCUGGA
rnacentral:pre_miRNA from 1 species